UGAAGCGAGUCUAAUCGCUCGUGGAGGCCCGAACCUUUAGCUGUUGCAAAAGCUUAGGAUGAGCUGUGGGUAGAGGUGAUAUGCCAAACGAACUUGGAGAUAGCUUGUUCUCCCCGAAAUAGCUUUAGGGCUAGCGUCACGCGUUUAGUACCGGAGGUAGAGCACUGGAUGGGCUAGGGGGCUUAUCGCUUACCAAACCCAACCAAACUCCGAAUGCCGGUACUCCAGAGCGUGGCAGUCGGACCGCGGGAGAUGAGUUUCGUGGUCGAGAGGGAAAGAGCCCAGACCAUCGGCUAAGGUCCUUAAGUUUGAGCUAAGUGGGAAACGAUGUGGGACUGUCGAGACAGCCAGGAGGUUGGCUUAGAAGCAGCCAUCCUUUAAAGAGUGCGUAACAGCUCACUGGUCAAGUGGUCUUGCGCGGAAAAUGUAACGGGGCUAAGUCUGGCACCGAAGCCAUGGGUCUCCGCCUUUUGGCGGGGGCAGUAGGGGAGCGUUCUGUCUGCUAGGAAGGUCGACCGGAAGGACGGCUGGAGCGGGCAGAAGUGAGAAUGCAGGCAUGAGUAGCGUAAAACACGUGAGAACCGUGUUCGCCGUAAGUCUAAGGUUUCCGACGGCAGGUCAAUCCGCGUCGGGUUAGUCGGUCCUUAGCCGAGGCCGCAAGGCGUAGGCGAUGGACAUCCGGUCAACAUUCCGGAACCACCCUGGUUGAGCGAUGGAAGGACGCAGUUUGGUAAGCCAGCCUGCGAUUGGUUGUGCAGGUGUAAGUGUGUAGGCGUUGAAGCCGGCAGGUAAAUCCACCGGCUGAGCUGAGGCACGAAUGCGAGCCCCUGAGGCAGAAGUGGUUUAGCCAAGCUGCCAAGAAAAGUUUCUAAGCUGUGAUACCUGGGUGACCGUACCGCAAACCGACACUGGUAGACGGGUAGAGUAUACCAAGGCGAACGGGAGAACCUUCGUUAAGGAACUAGGCAAAUUAGCCCCGUAACUUCGGGAGAAGGGGUGCCUCCAGACGUGAUACCGCUGGCCGGUUCAGCGUCAGGAGGUCGCAGUGAAAUGGCUCUGGUGACUGGUUAUCAAAACCACAGGUCUCUGCGAAGCCGAAAGGCGACGUAUAGGGGCUGACGCCUGCCCAGUGCCGGAAGGUUAAGGGGAGGGGUUAUUCUCGCUUCGGCGAGAAGAAGCUCUGAACCGAAGCCCCGGUGAACGGCGGCUGUAACUAUAACAGUCCUAAGGUAGCGAAAUUCCUUGUCGGGUAAGUUCCGACCUGCACGAAUGGUGUAACGACUUGGGCAUUGUCUCAACGAGGAUCCCGGCGAAAUUGGAGUUGCGGUGAAGAUACCGCAUACCCGCGGAAGGACGAAAAGACCCCGGAACCUUUACUGUAGCUUGGCAUUGGGUUUUGGUAUAGUUUGUGUAGCAUAGGUGGGAGGCGUUGAGAUCAGGGCGCCAGCCUUGGUGGAGCCAUCAGUGAAAUACCACCCUUUCUAUGUCGAGAUUCUAACCCUGCCUGUGAAAGGUGGGAGACAUUGUCUGGCAGGCAGUUUUACUGGGGCGGUAGCCUCCUAAAAUGUAACGGAGGCGUCCAAAGGUUCCCUCAACGCGGUCGGCAAUCGCGUGAAGAGUAUAAGGGCACAAGGGAGCCUGACUGUGAGGCCGACAGGCCGAGCAGAGCCGAAAGGCGGGCCUAAUGAACCUGCGGUACCGUGUGGAAGGGCCGCAGACCAACGGAUAAAAGGUACUCCGGGGAUAACAGGCUCAUCCCGCCCGAGAGUUCAUAUCGACGGCGGGGAUUGGCACCUCGAUGUCGGCUCGUCACAUCCUGGGGCUGAAGCAGGUCCCAAGGGUUGGGCUGUUCGCCCAUUAAAGUGGCACGCGAGCUGGGUUCAGAACGUCGUGAGACAGUUCGGACUUCAUCCUCCGUGGGCGUCUGGAGACUUGAGGAAAGCUGUCCUUAGUACGAGAGGACCAGGAUGGACGGACCUCUGGUGUACCUGUUGUCACGCCAGUGGCACAGCAGGGUAGCUAUGUCCGGAAGGGAUAACCGCUGAAAGCAUCUAAGUGGGAAGCCCAUUCCAAGAUAAGGUCUCCCGUUUCCUGUCUUUGGACGGGAAACUAAGUUUCCUUCGAGAUUAGAAGGUUGAUAGGCGACAGGUGUACGCACAGUAAUGUGUUUAGCCGAGUCGUACUAAUAUAACGAGAGGCUUGUCCAAAU
rnacentral:rRNA from 1 species